UUGAAAGGGAAACGAUUGAAGUCAGUCGUACCUAUGGGUAAUCAGCCUUUUGGGUGUGAUUUUGUGGAGCGUGAGGAGUUAAACGCCUUCAUGCCUGCAUAUUCGUGCACUUUGGGUGUACUUGCCUGUAUGGUUGGUUAACAUCAAUUUUGGUGGUCAUAAAAUGACUGGAGGAAUGUAGCUUCGAUCUCGUAUUGAAGUGUUAUAGCCUUCGGUAGAUGUGAUGAUCGAGAUUGAGGAUUGCAACGGAUACCCUUCGGGGCUACCUGUCUGAUCUCUGAUCGUUGCUCUGGUGCCGAAAGCUUGCUUACGGUUAUCAAAGUCGAUGGUCAAUAGGUUAGAAUGGGUUAAAUUCGUUAAGGAUGUUGACGUA
rnacentral:rRNA from 1 species